GAGCCUAUAGGCCCCCUCGCCGGCCGCCUCCCCUCGACCUACCCUGCAUCCCGGAGCGCGCUCCUCACCGCUCGCCUGAGAUCCUCCGUCCCGGCACGCCGCCCCUCACCAGUCACCACUCUCCUGCGACCCUCCAUCCCGGCGCACCGUCGCUCGUCACCACUCCCCUGAUACCCUGCAUCCCGGCGCGCCGCCCCUCGUCAUCGCUCCCCUGCGACCAACUGCGUCUACUACCUCCGCACGGGGGCCUGCGGCUACGGGAAGAGCUGCAGCUACAACCACCCUCGCGAUCGCGCCUGCCGCGGCCUGAUCAUUCACACCGUCAUAUGGUCAUAUUUGUUUCCGAGACUUCAAAGCAGGUUACCUCCACUCGGUGCAGAGAAAUGCAAUGGCACUCAAGCACUGGAUAUGUUGCAAUGGACAUGACCCCAAAACUUUCUCCCUCUCUUUUAUUUGAGUCACAAUUCAGUAAUUUGUUUACAUAUUUCAUUCGCUCAAAAGACCAUUUAGAUCUCUGUGUUCUCUGCUACUACAACUGAGGAGCAACUUGACAGCUUUAUGCAGCUCGGUCAACUAGGCCGCUGGGACGCUGGGGGAGAAGGACAUCGGUGCAGAGCAUGGCAAAGCCGAGUACUUGUUGGAUCUGAGGGCUUCUGAUCCACAGUUCUCCGCAUGAUCAUCCAUCAGCAUCUAGUGACAUUAACACUCAGCCGCAUAAGGCUUUCUCCCCACUAUAGUUGGAGUUCAAGAGCGUAAGGAAGGUAAUCUGUUGAUCAAUUACUGUUGCUUGUCACAAAACUCUGAAAAAUAUUACUGAGUACAUCUACAACGAGCUAUGCUUGCCAUUUAAAAGAUGCUUAUGUGAGCUGCGUGUCAUAUCAAUUUUUUUAUGCAAGCAGAUCUUGCGAUUUACAUAUGAUUUAUGAACAUAAAUUGUUUACUGUGUAACCCCUAAAUACAGUAGAAGAGAAACAAAUCUUAUAAAACUAUGCUGAGACGAGUAGUACUUAUUUAGUCAAGUGACAUGUUAGAUAAAAUUCCACACCUAUUACAACUUAUCUGACUUCUGUAUUUUUUAAUGAUAGCUGAACUAGAUUGUGUUCCAGGAAUAGAAAACCAUGGAUGUUUUCCAUUUAUUCACUUGGCUAUUGGAAUUUGAUUGAUGACCCCUUCUCCUAUUAUUAACAACAUAUACCUACACGGUUCUGUCUGCUGGUUUGCCAAAUUCUAGACACUUCUUUUGUGGUUCGUGCUUCCGCUUUAUACCAUGCUUGCCUACAUCCGUAGUGUCACUCCUUUAUUCUCUUGAUGUGCUUUUCCUUUACAAGGAAGAAUACACACCAUGAGGAAAAGAGAAGUAAAAUUGUAGCAUAUGGCAACUUUAUAAAUACUUCCAUGUUUCUGAUUCAUCAUGAGGUCAUGUACUGAUGGAUUGCAAAAAGAAAAAGAAAAAUAAUGUCAAUUGUUUCUAUAUAACUUUAAUUGGCAUGGUCCAUCUGUAGUGUCGUUCAAUUAUUAGACCACAUUCAAUAUUAUUUUUUGGAUGCCUGCAACUUCCAACUAAAUAGAUCGCCGUAUCUAUAUCUGAUUUGUAUUUGUAGUCUACAAACAAGACAUCCUAAUUAUUUGUUCGAACAUACUACAGUCUUGUUUUCUCUGCCGUGUCUUCUCCUUUUCUUAAUAGUGUCACUGCCUUUGAUUUAUCUGCUCAGAUGUGCUAUUUAGAGUUUGAUCUGGAUAUAUACUAGCUAUUUUAUUAGGAGUUGGUGGUAAAGAUGAACUAAUGGUUGAUCCGCCCUGCUGUCCAUGCUGCACUUCAUGCAAAAUCAUUGGGUCGGUACUGGGAGUACUCCAUUUAUGAUAGAUCUUAUGCUUCAAAGCUUCUUUUUAUUGUCUAAUAUGUUUUAUUUGCACUAAUUUGGUAAAUUUAAUUUAUCUUUUGGCUUAAUAUGUCCCAGGUAUUGAUAUAGUAAUAUGUUUUUACUUGAUUAAUGGCCAAACAUUCUGCUUCAGUAUCUUCCGGUAGGUGCCUCAGAAUUAUGCAGUUGAUCAUACCAUACUGCUACUCGAAUAAAAAUGUCUAUCUUUGUGUUCUACACUGAAGCUAUCAUAUGAAGUUUAAUUAUUUUCAGCGUCCAUCACCAAAACUACUUUGUUUGUAGUGAAAGGCUUCAUAGAAUUUCAUAGAUGUUGCACAUCAUGAGAUUAACCUGUAGAUGUAUUCAUAACCAUAUAGUAGAGGGGAAGAUGCAAGCACGACAUGUCUUGGCCUCUCAACCUUUUCUGUUAUAUGUCGCGUUUCUAUUAAUUAUUUUGCUUGACAUGAUUCUGCCAAUGGUAACUUUGAUUUUCUCUAACAGGUAGGAACAAAAGUAUUUUUAAUGAGCCUAAAAAAUCAUAACACAUGUAGCUCUUGCUACAGUUGUAAGUUGUGAUCCUAAAUUUGAACUUGAUGGUGCUGAAAUUACUAAUGAAUUCUGGGUAGUGCAUGUUGAUAUGGCACUUGUGAAAAUUGAAGAUUGGGUACAGAGUCGCAAAAACUGCAAUACUCUUGGUAAUGUAGAUUUGUUUUUGCAUCUCAACCUCUGUAAGUGAGUAAUAUCCUCCCUCUAUGACUACUUGCAUCAUGUCAAUGCAUUGUGUGUUAACAGUUCAUUUUGUUUUUUUGUUUGUAGAUUCAAAAGAUAAAUGGAUGAUUCUAUUGGUGUGUGUGGCAAGUAUACUACAAGGAUGAUGAUGAUGUUCAUGUUCAUGAUGAUGAAGAUGGAUGGUUUCAAUUUUAGUUAAGUUGUAGGGAUGAUGUUCCUGUUGGAUGAUGUUCCUCGAUUGUGUUUUAGUUACGUUGUAGGGAUGCUUUCAAUUUAAGUUUUGCCGUCAAGAAACAUUUAGAUUAUACUUCCCAUGUGGAUGAUUUUUCUUGUGUAAUAUGCACUAUUGUAAUCCAACAGUUUUAUUUAAUAUAUGAUUUCUUCCUCUUGUGA